rnacentral:rRNA from 1 species
CCUACGGGAGGCAGCAGUGGGGAAUAUUCCACAAUGGGGGAAACUCUGAUGCAGCGACGCCGCGUGAGUGAAGAAGUUUUUCGGUAUGUAAAGCUCUAUCAGCAGGGAAGAAAAUGUCGGUACCUGACUAAUUCACCCUGGGUCACUACGUGCCAGCAGACGCGGUUCUACGUAGGGGGCAAGCGUUACCCGGAUUUAAUGGGUGUAAAGGGAGCGGAGAUGGCGAGGAAAGUCAGCAGUGAAAGCCCAGGGGUCAACCCUGGGUUUGCUUUGGAAACUGCCGGGCUGGAGUGCAGGAGGGGUAAGCGGAAUUCCUAGUGUAGCGGUGAAAUGCGUAGAUAUUAGGAGGAACACCAGUGGCGAAGGCGGCUUACUGGACUGUAACUGACGCUGAGGCUCGAAAGCGUGGGGAGCAAACAGGAUUAGAUACCCCUGUAGUC